GCUCAACCGGGGAGGGUCAUUGGAAACUGGGGAACUUGAGUGCAGAAGAGGAGAGUGGAAUUCCACGUGUAGCGGUGAAAUGCGUAGAGAUGUGGAGGAACACCAGUGGCGAAGGCGACUCUCUGGUCUGUAACUGACGCUGAGGCGCGAAAGCGUGGGGAGCGAACAGGAUUAGAUACCCUGGUAGUCCACGCCGUAAACGAUGAGUGCUAAGUGUUAGAGGGUUUCCGCCCUUUAGUGCUGCAGCAAACGCAUUAAGCACUCCGCCUGGGGAGUACGGUCGCAAGACUGAAACUCAGAGGAAUUGACGGGGGCCCGCACAAGCGGUGGAGCAUGUGGUUUAAUUCGAAGCAACGCGAAGAACCUUACCAGGUCUUGACAUCCUCUGACAACCCUAGAGAUAGGGCUUCCCCUUCGGGGGCAGAGUGACAGGUGGUGCAUGGUUGUCGUCAGCUCGUGUCGUGAGAUGUUGGGUUAAGUCCCGCAACGAGCGCAACCCUUGAUCUUAGUUGCCAGCAUUCAGUUGGGCACUCUAAGGUGACUGCCGGUGACAAACCGGAGGAAGGUGGGGAUGACGUCAAAUCAUCAUGCCCCUUAUGACCUGGGCUACACACGUGCUACAAUGGGCAGAACAAAG
rnacentral:rRNA from 1 species